rnacentral:rRNA from 1 species
GAUGAACGCUAGCGGCAGGCCUAAUACAUGCAAGCCGGACGGCAAGUUGAGUAGCAAUACUUGACCUAGAGUGGCGUAAGGGUGCGUAACACGUAUGCAAUCUGCCCACAGCCGGGAGAUAGCCCUCCGAAAGGAGGAUUAAUAUCCCAUAGGAAGAUGAGAUGGCAUCAUUUUAUUUUUAAACUACGGGGCUGUGGAUGAGCAUGCGGUUGAUUAGCUAGUUGGCGGGGUAAAGGCCACCAAGGCGAUGAUCAAUAGGGGACCUGAGAGGGUGAUCCCCCACACUGGCACUGAGAUACGGGCCAGACUCCUACGGGAGGCAGCAGUAGGGAAUAUUGGACAAUGGGUGUAAGCCUGAUCCAGCCAUGCCGCGUGCAGGAAGAAGGCCUUUCU